rnacentral:rRNA from 1 species
CAAUAGCGUAUAUUAACGUUGUUGCAGUUAAAAAGCUCGUAGUUGGAUUUCUGGAGGGAGCGUCGGCCCGUAUUUACGAGUGCGUGACGUCUCUGUCCAUCCUUGCGGGAAGGCACGGCAUUGAUUUGUUGUGUCGGAUCGCAUCAUUUACUGUGAAAAAAUUAGAGUGUUCAAAGCAGGCUUUCGCUUGAAUACAUUAGCAUGGAAUAAUAAGAUAGGACUUUGGUGCUAUUUUGUUGGUUGAGCCUAAAGUAAUGAUUAAUAGGGAUAGUUGGGGGCACCUGUAUUGCGUUGUCAGAGGUGAAAUUCUUGGAUUUACGCAAGACAAACAGCUGCGAAAGCGUCUGCCAAGGAUGUUUUCAGUAA